rnacentral:lncRNA from 1 species
UUUGUAGUAUUUGUGGUUUGAGGCAUAGUGACAUUGCCUUCUCUCUCACCCUACUCUAAUAAGGCUUUAAUAUCUGGAGCUCAUAGGUGGGAGAUAAAAUAUACAUACUUACAAGACAUUUAUUGCAUAGUCAAACCAUGGAUCCAAAGAAACAAAUCAAUAAGCCAAAUCAAGAUGUGCAUGUGUGGCGAAUGAAUGGUGUAUGGUGAUGAUGGUGAUAACAAUGGUGAAAACAAUGGUGGUGGAAGUCUAAUUCUACUUUGCUCUUUGAGAGGAUACAUACAUUCCUUGCUUUUGAAACUUUAUGAGGAGAAUGAGAUGCUCUUCUUUUUCUUGUCUCUCAGGUGGGUAUCUUGUAUCCCUAAUUCUACUGUCGGACACUUGUCCAUUUUUUACCUCUCAUCUCACUUUUUCUUUUCUUCCGAGGUUCCGAGCACUUGCUCUUUUUUAUUUCCUCGUAUCUCUUUUUUUUAGAGCAUUCAUCUCUUGAGAUAAUAUAGCAAGUGGUAGUAACAAGAUAACUUGAGCAUUUAUUUCACAAGGGAAAAACAGAAAUAUUUUUGGUUAUUCUCUCCCGGAUUAGGAGUAGAAUAUUUUUGCGUGAUUCUGGAGAUGGAAAUGGAUGGAUAUAUGUGGAUGGUACUUCCGGAGUAGAAGUAGCAUAUAUGAGUGAACGUGCAAGUGAAAUCUUGAUUUAACCACAUGACAAGCUCCUAAGGGUCAACACAGCUUGACCACACUCAAUGCUCAUAAGCAGUAAAUAAUAAAUGUGUGGCUCAAAGUCUAGCAAGCAUGUAUAUAUGGCUUUGGUAGGAAUUUAAACUCUCAUCAUACAGGAACUCAUCAUGCAACAUUUUAAAGAUUUUCAAAGAUAAAAUUCUCCAGAAUUCUAGCAUCUCUAGGAACAGAUAAACAGCAGCUCAACCUUCCCAUAUCGUAUCCGUUAACAACUUAGACUUCAGAUCAAAUUUUCAUCCCACAAGUUU